GGACAGACAGGAAAUGUCCGGAAGCCUCCUACAGGCUGAGGAAGCCACGGCGAUGCCGGAUUGACUGACUGUGACGUCACUAGGGAGACCGGAGGCGGGGCUGGUGACAUUUGAAGCAGGAAUGAGGAUUGGCCAGUAAAUUGGAGCCGGCAGGGAGACGCGGAGGAAACAAUGGACUCCCUGAUGGAUGCAGCACAGAAAUGUAAUUGUGCCAGAUGCCUUGCGUUUGUGCUUUUACCUCCGGCUGCGACUCAAGAGAUAAAGAGGUUUAUAAAGAAGAGGGGAGCCAAUCAAUAUUCUUCUGAGGUAUCACUUUGCGCUCGCUGUUCCUUCAGUGCUGCCUCUUCUCUCCAUGUGCACAGAAUACACUACUGACAUUCCAAUCAACCCAUGGCAGUACAGCACUGGAGCAGGCAGUUACUGGAAAGGGUCAGUGCUGGAAUUCAGAUCUGCUGGGACCAAGAUCAAGUUUGUGAGCUUGGGGGCAUUCUUGUGUAUUGUACCUUUGGGCUCUUACACCCAGGCAUAUUUUAUGUGUUUAUAAGCCCAUGUUGAGUGUUUAAGAAUGCCUUUAUCCAUGUUUAUGUGUUUUGUACACACACCUAAGUGAGUUUCUGUCAGUGUCAAAGGCAAACCCCUAUUCCAAUUGUCUUCUAAACGCCUGUCAAGUGCAAGAAAAUGCAUCAUGUAGCAUCUAAAAAAGUGCAAUGAAAUGCAAAUGCCAUAAAGUACAACUCUGAAUGCUCAUGAGUAUAAAUAAUCAGAAUACAAUGGAAUCAGUUAACUGAUGAAUUUAGGUGCAUUUAACCAUGCUCUUCAGUUGCAUGUCAAAUGCAUUAAAAAAGGCCCAUGUGUAAGAGGCUUUAUAAGCACAGCGCUGCUACUAAUAAUUACUGCUCUAUUCAACACACUAUCUUCAUUUACCAGUGUCCAGGCUUUUGCCGGACUCAGCAGAGAGCAGAUCUUUCAGUGUAUGGUCAACAGGCCUGGAUUGGGAUUCAAAAUUGGCCCUGGAUUUUUAAGUACAUAGAGGCCCAAACAGCUCCCCACCAGCCUUCUAAAUAGUGACUGUCUAUGGCAUCUUACAGCAGCCCCUCUGGCAUUUGCCACAAACCACAGAUUGCCAGUCUGGGCCUGAUGGUCAAUUUAAAUUAAUCUCCGAGGUGUAAUCUAUACUGUUCCUGCUGAAUUGUGCUUAGUACAGAGGAAUACUUAUGCUGCCUUAUAGUGGGUUUACCUGCGGGUGGGGCGGGUUCAGGCCGACUCCUGCUUCUUUGGGUCGAGGGCAGGUCCGGGUCGAGCUCUUUUCCUGCUCUCCCUGCCCGCGACCUAGCACUUCUGGCUUCCAGUGACAGAUUUUAUAGACUUGCCCACCUCUUUUGUGACAUCACUGCGAGGCAGGUCUAUAAAUAGAGGGGCAGCAGCGGGCCAGGGCCGGGUGCGGAUUGGGAGGGGGCAGGUUAGGGUCGGUGCGGGUCGAGAAAUUUUCGACCUGCACAUCACUACUGCCUUAGUUUCAUGGAGUCUCUCUGUACAGGCUAUGUGCAAACUUACAGGACUGGUCCUGCUGAAUUGUGCUUAGUACAAGAAAAUCUGUGGGAAUUCAGACAAUUAAGUAGAAUGGUCAAUGUAUUGCACCGAGCCCCCAUACUGGUGCCAGACUCUUCUUUGGCAACCAUUGCUUGGAUAAUGGGCUCCACUUUGCUCCUCUUUAGAUAUUUUGCCCCAUGAGCUUUUUGCUGUUUUAUAAACAUGUUGUAACAUAAAGGAGCAUUCUGGUCCUUUCCGGCUACAUUUGAUUGAAGUCGGCUAUUAUCUCAAUGCAGAUUUUCAAUGUUGGAAACAAGUGUAUUUUUGCUGAACCUGUUGGCUGCUGGGGCCCGCAGCUGGAUCCGGCACUGGUUCUUGUGCAAUUUGUUAUUUUGCCACUCUGCCCCAGAAGCCAUUACACAUCAGCAUGAUGGAAAGUAACAGGGAACAGCAUAUCCUCGGAGGGAAACAUCUUUAUAAACGCAGUGCUGGGCCCCUGAGAGGUAGAAUUGCUCUCACAUGGAAUCAUUUUUAUUCAGAUUCAUUUCACAAACGAGGAAAUAAUAAGAAAAAUUAACCACUAAAUGAAUUUACCCCAGAAAUGUACAGUCACCCUGAAUCCAGCGUGAAGGAGAGAACUUUAAUGUAUUUAAUAGCCAAUCAUACCUCUCCCCAUUGCUCAUUAGUGGCUAUGUAAUAAUGAAGCCUGAGCUCUGCCAGAGAAAGGCACUGUUUGUCAUGUGGAAGACAUCCCUUUGUGACUAAUAAAAAUAAGACAUCUUUUUGAUAUUUAA